rnacentral:misc_RNA from 1 species
AAGUCGUAACAAGGUUUCCGUAGGUGAACCUGCGGAAGGAUCAUUAACGAAUAACUAUGGCGUUGGUUGUAGCUGGCUCCUCGGAGCAAUGUGCACGCCCGCCAUUUUUAUCUUUCCACCUGUGCACCGACUGUAGGUCUGGAUACCUCUCGCCUCCGGGCGGAUGCGAGGGUUGCUCGUAAGGGCUUCCCUUGAACUUCCAGGCUCUACGUCUUUUUACACACCCCAAUAGUAUGAUGCAGAAUGUAGUCAAUGGGCUUCUCAGCCUAUAAAACACUUAUACAACUUUCAGCAACGGAUCUCUUGGCUCUC